rfam:Auricularia subglabra TFB-10046 SS5 ATRDEscaffold_58_Cont1742, whole genome shotgun sequence.
GUUCCCAUAGAUUAGUGGUUAGAUCGGAACGUUGUGGUUCACACAUCCGUUCAAACGCGUGUUCGAAUCACGCUGGGAACA